rnacentral:misc_RNA from 1 species
GAUGAAGAACGUAGUGAAAUGCGAUAAGUAAUGUGAAUUGCAGAACUCAGUGAAUCAUCGAGUCUUUGAACGCACAUUGCGCCCCCUGGUAUUCCGGGGGGCAUGCCUGUCCGAGCGUCAUUGCUGCCCUCAAGCACGGCUUGUGUGUUGGGCCUCCGUCCUCCUCCCGGGGGACGGGCCCGAAAGGCAGCGGCGGCACCGCGUCCGGUCCUCGAGCGUAUGGGGCUUCGUCACCCGCUCUUGUAGGCCCGGCCGGCGCUUGCCGACACAUCAAUCUUUUUUCCAGGUUGACCUCGGAUCAGGUAGGGAUACCCGCUGAACUUAAGCAUAUCAAUAAGCGGAGGA